rnacentral:rRNA from 1 species
CCUACGGGGGGCUGCAGUGGGGAAUAUUGGACAAUGGGGGGAACCCUGAUCCAGCCAUGCCGCGUGUGUGAAGAAGGCCCUCGGGUUGUAAAGCACUUUCAGUGAGGAAGAACGCCUGGUGGUUAAUACCCAUCAGGAAAGACAUCACUCACAGAAGAAGCACCGGCUAACUCCGUGCCAGCAGCCGCGGUAAUACGGAGGGUGCGAGCGUUAAUCGGAAUUACUGGGCGUAAAGCGCGCGUAGGUGGCUUGAUAAGCCGGUUGUGAAAGCCCCGGGCUCAACCUGGGAACGGCAUCCGGAACUGUCAAGCUAGGGUGCAGGAGAGGAAGGUAGAAUUCCCGGUGUAGCGGUGAAAUGCGUAGAGAUCGGGAGGAAUACCAGUGGCGAAGGCGGCCUUCUGGACUGACACUGACACUGAGGUGCGAAAGCGUGGGUAGCAAACAGGAUUAGAUACCUUGUAGUC